rnacentral:rRNA from 1 species
GACGAACGCUGGCGGCGUGCUUAACACAUGCAAGUCGAACGGAAAGGCCCUGCUUUUGUGGGGUGCUCGAGUGGCGAACGGGUGAGUAACACGUGAGUAACCUGCCCUUGUCUUUGGGAUAACUUCAGGAAACUGGGGCUAAUACCGGAUAGGAGCUCCUGCUGCAUGGUGGGGGUUGGAAAGUUUCGGCGGUUGGGGAUGGACUCGCGGCUUAUCAGCUUGUUGGUGGGGUAGUGGCUUACCAAGGCUUUGACGGGUAGCCGGCCUGAGAGGGUGACCGGCCACAUUGGGACUGAGAUACGGCCCAGACUCCUACGGGAGGCAGCAGUGGGGAAUAUUGCACAAUGGGCGGAAGCCUGAUGCAGCAACGCCGCGUGCGGGAUGACGGCCUUCGGGUUGUAAACCGCUUUCGCCUGUGACGAAGCGUGAGUGACGGUAAUGGGUAAAGAAGCACCGGCUAACUACGU